AAGAGGAAAAAGUUACCGCAGGGAUAACAGCGUUAUUUCUUCUAAGAGAUCUUAUUGAGGAAGAAGUUUGCGACCUCGAUGUUGGAUUAUAGAAACUUUAUGGUGCAGCAGCUAUAAUUGUGAGACUGUUCGUCUUUUAAUUCUAUACAUGAUCUGAGUUAAAACCGGCGUGAGCUAGGUUGGUUUCUAUCUUU
rnacentral:rRNA from 1 species